rnacentral:rRNA from 1 species
CUACGGGCGGCACCAGUGGGGAAUAUUGCACAAUGGGCGCAAGCCUGAUGCAGCCAUGCCGCGUGUAUGAAGAAGGCCUUCGGGUUGUAAAGUACUUUCAGCGGGGAGGAAGGGAGUAAAGUUAAUACCUUUGCUUAUUGACGUUACCCGCAGAAGAAGCACCGGCGAACUCCGUGCCAGCAGCCGCGGUAAUACGGAGGGUGCAAGCGUUAAUCGGAAUUACUGGGCGUAAAGCGCACGCAGGCGGUUUGUUAAGUCAGAUGUGAAAUCCCCGGGCGCAACCUGGGAACUGCAUCUGAUACUGGCAAGCUUGAGUCUCGUAGAGGGGGGUAGAAUUCCAGGUGUAGCGGUGAAAUGCGUAGAGAUCUGGAGGAAUACCGGUGGCGAAGGCGGCCCCCUGGACGAAGACUGACGCUCAGGUGCGAAAGCGUGGGGAGCAAACAGGAUUAGAUACCCGGGUAGUC